rnacentral:rRNA from 1 species
GAUGAACGCUGGCGGCGUGCCUAAUACAUGCAAGUCGAGCGAACAGACGAGGAGCUUGCUCCUCUGACGUUAGCGGCGGACGGGUGAGUAACACGUGGAUAACCUACCUAUAAGACUGGGAUAACUUCGGGAAACCGGAGCUAAUACCGGAUAAUAUAUUGAACCGCAUGGUUCAAUAGUGAAAGACGGUUUUGCUGUCACUUAUAGAUGGAUCCGCGCCGCAUUAGCUAGCUGGUAAGGUAACGGCUUACCAAGGCAACGAUGCGUAGCCGACCUGAGAGGGUGAUCGGCCACACUGGAACUGAGACACGGUCCAGACUCCUACGGGAGGCAGCAGUAGGGAAUCUUCCGCAAUGGGCGAAAGCCUGACGGAGCAACGCCGCGUGAGUGAGGAAGGUCUUCGGAUCGUAAAACUCUGUUAUUAGGGAAGAACAAAUGUGUAAGUAACUAUGCACGUCUUGACGGUACCUAAUCAGAAAGCCACGGCUAACUACGUG